CAAUAGCGUAUAUUAAAGUUGUUGCAGUUAAAAAGCUCGUAGUUGGAUUUGUGGCGUACGGUGUGUUCCGGGCACUUGUUGUCUGAGUAACCUGCUGUUGCCAUCCUUGGGUGGAACCUGUGUGGCAUUAGGUUGUCGUGCAGGGGAUGCCCAUCAUUUACUGUGAAAAAAUUAGAGUGUUCAAAGCAGGCUUAUGCCGUUGAAUAUAUUAGCAUGGAAUAAUGAGAUAGGACUUUUUUGCUAAUUUGUUGGUUUGCGCAAAGAGGUAAUGAUUAAUAGGGACAGUUGGGGGUAUUCGUAUUCCAUUGUCAGAGGUGAAAUUCUUGGAUUUUUGGAAGACGAACUACUGCGAAAGCAUUUACCAAGGAUGUUUUCAUUAA
rnacentral:rRNA from 1 species